GAUGAACGCUAGCUACAGGCUUAACACAUGCAAGUCGAGGGACCGGCGCACGGGAGAAUAAUACGUAUCCCACCCGCCUUUUACUCGGGGAUAGCCUUUCGCAAGAAAGAUUAAUACCCGAUAUAAAGGACGGGGAUGCGUUCCAUUAGGUUGUUGGUGAGGUAACAGCUCACGAAGCCUUCGAUGGAUAGGGGUUCUGAGAGGAAGGUCCCCCGCAUUUGAACUGAGACACGGUCCAAACUCGUACGCGAGGCAGCAGUGUGUAAUAUUGGUGAAUCGGCGCUAGCCUGAACCAGCCAAGUGUCGUGAAGGAUGAAGGCUUAUGGGUCGUAAACUUCUUGUAUAUAAGAACAUGUAUUAUAUGAAUAAGGAUCGGCUAACUCCGUGCCAGCAGCCGCGGUAAUAC
rnacentral:rRNA from 1 species